rnacentral:rRNA from 1 species
UACGUAGGGGGCAAGCGUUGUCCGGAUUUAUUGGGCGUAAAGAGCGUGUAGGCGGCCGUGUAGGUCCGUUGUGAAAACUCGAGGCUCAACCUCGAGACGUCGAUGGAAACCACACGGCUAGAGUCCGGAAGAGGAGAGUGGAAUUCCUGGUGUAGCGGUGAAAUGCGCAGAUAUCAGGAAGAACACCCAUGGCGAAGGCAGCUCUCUGGGACGGUACUGACGCUGAGACGCGAAAGCGUGGUGAGCGAACAGG